GCACAAAAGAGGGUCUAAUGGGCGGAGGUUAGGAGUAGUAUAAACUGGUUCUGCAGGGAUGUGGCAUUCCCUGCAUCGUUGCAUAGACCUCCAUACCCUGAUAAGGUGAACAGAUAUAUUAAGCUUUUUUUGCAGAAGUGAUAAGAAUGAGUGGCUGCUUUAAGACUGGAAAGAUCAAGGCCACCAGCCUAAAAAUUACUUUUCUUGUUCAUGUGGCUCAAUGCCUGAAAUGCCUCCAUCUGUGAGUAUCUCUGUUUAAAGUCCUAUGUGCUGAAGGAUAGAAUGACCAAAAGAAAGGGCAUUGAACUAAAUGUUGGGAGCCCUGCACUCAGAGGCCUGGCUGUGCUUUGGAGCAGCCACAACUUCUCUUUGAUCCUCUGUGUCUCUGCUUUUUGUGUUUAUGGUAAGGCUCCCAUGUGUCUGUGUGAGGGGUUGCUACAGACACUGAUGUCAGGGUUUGAUUUCAGAGUUUGGCAAAUGGGGUCUCUGUCCUAUCUGCCUUUGUGUCACCUGGAGUCCAGCACAGAACUGGCACACAGGAGGCAACCAAUAAAUAAAUGUUUAAUGACUUGAAAAAUGUCUACUAGUCACUCAUAUAACUCCUAGGAGGUAUGAGUCAUUAAAUCUAUAUUUUAGUAAAGUCAGUUUAAUAAUUACCUUCUUUUUUAGUCACUGAAGGAAUACAGAGAACAUGUAAAUGGGUUGAAUUUGUGUGAAUUGAACAACAGAAUUACUUAUUAGAAGAACUUCCAUUCCUAGAAAUUUCCCAAAUAUAAAAGCCCUAAUGAUAAUUCAUGUGUCAUAUAUAACCAGUUUUUUUCUGUUGUGAUUCAGUAAUCAACUGAUCCAGUUGCAGAUGGGAAUUUUGAGCUUUUGGUGUGGCUGAUGAGUUUUCUUCUUAAUUUUAGUUUUAUAAAAUUUAUGAGCUCUUACCAUCAACAUUUUUCUGAUUCCAUUUAUUUUUAUAAACUAGAGUAAAAUGCAGUAAAACAUGAAAGUAUUUGAAUGCUCACCUCCCUGUGGAAGCACAAAAGGCAGUGCUUCUGGUUUGGAAAGCCAACUGAACAGGUUAUAGUUGGGUGUGUUUGUUUGUGCACUGCAGUGUAGAAUUCUGAAAUUACAGUAGGAAAGGCAAGAUUUAGGAAUAAGUAUGCCUUGUAUGAAAAUUAGGCAUAUGGAAGUUGACUUUGUGCUUCCAGAGUAAUAGGUUCGGAAAGAGAAAAGAGGAAUAGGAGACUCACACAAAGUGGUGUGGAAUUGAGCCCAUGACCCUCAGCCAGCAGUAAGUGGCUUGUUGCCUAGCAAGAAGUGAAGAAUCCAGAUUUCCCUUUCAUCUACCUCUGAUAAGCACAAGUUUUUCCAGAGUUUCUGGUUAUGUAUUGAAGUCCUUCACUUGGUAAUUAUUUUCCUUUAGAUCUUCAAGACUCAUUUGGGCUCUCAAUCAGAAUAUAUAUAUAUAUAUAUAUAUAUAUAUAUAUAUAUAUAUAUAGUUAAUAUUUUUAAAAAUAUAUAUAUUAAGAUUUAUUAUUUAUUUGAAAGAGUUACAGAGAGAGAAGGAGAAGCAGAACGAGAGAGAGUGAGAGAGAGAGAGAGAUCAGUCUGCUAUCCUCUGGUUUACUCCCCAGAUGACUGCAACAGCUGGAACGGGGCCAGGCUGAAGCCAGGAACUAGGAGCUUCUUUCAAGUCUCCCACAUGAGUGGCUUGGGCCAUCUUCUGUUGUUUUUCCUAGGCUGUCAGCAGGGAGAUGGAUUGGAAAUGGAGCAGCCAGGACAUAUUGCAGGCAGUGGCUUCACCCACUGUGCCACAAUGCCAGCCCCAGAAAAUGUUAAUUCUUAAAUAACAGCUUCUAGAGUAUAUAAAUCCUAAGAUAAUUUCCUGUUUUACAAAACAAAUUUGAGUUCUGAUGAUACGAAAUUUUUACUUGCAUUAUGGCUGUACUCUUAAAUUUAGUUAGAAAACUAAAUGCACUAGAGGAAUUUCCUUUGAUAUACUUUGACUUUUAGAUGGAUGAUUUUCUCUUCCACCUUCCCCUUUCUUUAAACUUGGAAGAUGAACUAGCUGUGGAAUGCUUAGAGAAAGAGUAAUUUACUCCCAACUUCCUAGCCCCCAUAUUUUGACUGUUAACACACCACUUCACUAGACCCAUCAUUCGACCAGUAGCAAACACUAGCAUAUUUUUUGCCUUCUAAUUGAAUUAUAAUUUAGCUUUUCUGUCUUUAAAGCAAGAACAAAUGUAGAAAUGAGGUUUUUUUGGGGAUGCUUUUCAUUUGUAAUUUAAUUUCAUAGAACCUUGAGGUGUAGAGUAAAAAGAUGGCCCAACUGAUAUUGAUAAACACUUGAGUAGUUGUUUCUUGUUUUAUCAUAUUUUCUCUUGUUCUGUUUAAUUAACUCAAAAAUUCCCUGUAAGAAAUAAAGGAAACAUUUCUGAUUCAACUAAUGGUUAUUGAAACAAAGUUUGGUUAAGCAGAUUUUGAAUUUUGCCAGGAUAUUUUUCCAUAGGCAGUUACUACCUUAUGUUAAUAAGUAUUAAUCCUUGCAUAAAAGUCAUGAACUAGUUUACUAUUGGCAUUUGUAUUAUCUAUUGCUUUUCAAAACUAUCUACUAUCUACAGGCUUUGGGUCUUACUGGUCUUUAGAAUAUAUUUUGUAGAUAAGUGAUGAUUUUUUUUUUUUUAAUUUAUUUGAAAGGCAGAGUUACAGAAAAGGAGAGAGAGAUCUUCUAUCUGCUGGUUCACUCCCCAAAUGGUUGCAAUGGCCAGGCCCAAAACAGGAGCCUAGCACUCCAUCCAGGUCUCCCACAAGGGUGGCAGGGACCCAAGUACUUGGGCCAUCAUCUGCUAUUUUCCCAUGCACAUUAGCAGGGAGCUGAAUCAGAAGUGGCUCAGCCAGGACUUGAACCAGUACUCAAAUGGGAUGCCAACAUUGCAGGCAAGUGACUUAACCUGCUGUGCCACAACACUGGCUCCUACGUGAUGAUUUUUUAAAACUGCUCAGACUAGGUUUAAGUUUUAAAAAUAAAGCUUGAAAGAAUUCAGAUUUUCUCUUAGAAGGUGUUUGAAAAUCAUCAUAAAUAGCUUAUUAGCACUGUUGUAGAGAUGGUAAUACAAAAUAUGGUGGAGCUUUUGUUUUAAUGUGUUAUAUCAUGGAUUUAAAAAAAUCUAUUCCACCCUCAAUAUCCAUGUAUUCUCUUUAUAAUUUGUUAAUAUGGUCAUUUCAUGAAUUUUGAAUUUCUUCUGUAAUGAAAACAAUAUUUUUUCUUCACUUAAUUUUUGUCAUUUAAUAAUUGGCCUAUAAAACUGAAGUUUUUUUCUAAGUGGAGCCUUUGCUUUACAUUAUUGUCAAAUAUUUCUUGGAUUUAACCGUUUAGAUGUUUUUAUUGGUGUAGUUUAUUUCAAGUGUUUUAUAUUGUUUAUUGUCUUAUGUUUUAGUUACUUAUUUAUAUGAAAGGCAGAGUGACAAAGGGAGAGCCAGGGAUCUUCCAUCGUGAUUUACUUGCCAAAUGCCUGCAACAGCUGGAGCUGGGCUAGGUUGAACCCAGGAGCCUGGAAUUCCUUUCUUUCUUUGUUUUUAAGUCUAAGAGAUGACUACUAAUGCUAUGAUGUAACAAGGUAGCUGUUUUGUUUUGUUUUAAAGAUUUAUUUAUUUAUUUGAAAGGCAUAGUUAGAAAGAGGGAAUGACAAAGAGAGCUCUUCCAUCUGCUGAUUCACUCCCCCAAAUGGCCACAAUGGCCAGGGCUGAGGUGGGCCAGGUCUCAUACGUGGAUUCAGGGGCUCAAGUACUUAGGCCAUCUUCCACUGCUUUCCCAAGUGCAUGAGCAGGGAGCUGGAUCAUAAGUGGGAGCAGCCAGACUCAAACUGAUGCCCAUAUGGAAUGUAGGCACUUUAGGCAGCAGCCCUAGGAGCCUGGAAUUUCAUCUUAACUUCCCCAUGGGUGGCAGGUACCCAAGCAUUUUGACUAUUAUUGGUGAUAAUUCCUUCACAAGACAAAGAAGUAUUUUUCAUUUGGAAAUUUAAAUUUAAACCACAGAAACAAACUACUGACAACCAGUGAGUGAAUAUAUUAAUGGGUUUUUAAGGUUUUUUUUUUUUAAGGGCUAAAUCAUAACCCCCAAACCACCAUGUGUCUGAAAUACUUAUGGGGGACUGAAAUGUUAUGUGCAUUCUCUUGGAAUGUAUUAGACUUUUUUUAAGCCAAGAGUUUCUCUCAAAAAGUGCACUGUUGUCUGUAUUUGGCAUCUUGGAUCUUUGCUUAUAGUAAUCAGGAUAAUAGAGAACAUAUUUCUAUUGUAAAAUAAAUAUUUAUACUCUCAGAUAUUGAUUAGUUACAUGUUAGCUGUGGCAUCAUUUGAUAGGGACUGAUCACUAGCCCCAUAUCUUAUUUGUUUUGUUUGGAAUGUAAUUAAAUUACUAAAGUGAACUCAGAUACUAAUGCAGUCUUUUUGGAAGUCUGUUGACCCCUAAUGAAAUUUUCUGGUUUAUUGUUAGCUGCCUGGUGUUGGUUUUUUUUUCCCCCAUCUUCCUUCUUGUCCAUCCAGUAUUUUUUUUUUAUUAUUUAUUUUACUUAUUUGAAAGGUAGAGUCAGAGAGAGAGAGAGAGAGAGAGAGAGAUCGUUCAUCUAUUUGGUUCACUUCCCAAAUGGCUGCAACAGCUAGGGCAGUGCCAGGUGGAAACCAGCAGUCAGGAGCUUCUUCUGGCUCUCCUACAUGAGUUCAGGGCAUCUACUGCUUUCUCAAGCACAUUAGCAAGGAACUGGAUCGGAAGUGGAGCAACUGGGCCUUAAAAUAGUGCCCCUGUGGGAGUCUGAUGUUCCAGGUGGUGGCAGUUUAGUUCUUUUUUACACAUCAUAGUCCUAAAAAAAAAACAACCUGACUUUGGUGUUUGAAAUAUUUUCCAAUGAAUUUCUAUUUGGAGUAUUUUACAGCUGAGUGUAAAUGAUUAACAGAUAGUAUAAAGUAUGCUGAACUGAGUAUGAGAAAUACCACCUAUGCAUUGCUGUACUUAGUGUGCAGUAGAACAGGGUGAGAAUUGUGGACUUUGGAUACAGACAGUCAUGUCUUCAAAUGUGAUCUCUGCUGCAUAGUUGACAGGGAAAUGUGGGCAAGAGACCCAUUAACCUCUGUCGGUAAAAUCAGGACAAAAGGUAAAAAGUACCUUGCUCUGCAAAUUUUGGCUCUUUUGCGUGACUUUGAGUUCUUUUCCCAGUUGUGUGUGUGUGUAUGUGUGUGUGUGUGUUGACAGGCAGAGUGGACAGUGAGAGAGAGACAGAGAGAAAGGUCUUCCUUUUGCUGUUGGUUCACCCUCCAAUGGCCACCGCAGCUGGCGCGCUGUGCUGAUCCGAAGGCAGGAGCCAGGUGCUUCCUCCUGGUCUCCCAUGGGGUGCAGGGCCCCAGCACUUGGGCCAUCCUCCACUGCACUCCCUGGCCACAGCAGAGAGCUGGCCUGGAAGAGGGGCAACCGGGACAGAAUCCGGCGCCCUGACCGGGACUAGAACCCAGUGUGCCGGUGCCGCAAGGCAGAGGAUUAGCCUAGUGAGCCGCGGCGCCAGCCUCCCAGUUUUCAAAUGAAGUUAUCUGCUAUUAUAAAAUACUCUUUCUUAAUUUGUAUGAAAUGCUACAAAAUAGCUACUCCCUAUAUAAUUGGUCUUCCACAGUGCUUUGGUUCUCAGUUCAAUCACUUAUAAAAAUCCCCAUGUACUUUCUCUGUAAAGAGCUGUUCCCAGGGCUAAAUAGCUAGUCUGUUGACCAAACAGACCUCUGGUUUGAUUUCUCAUGUCUGAGCUAUUCUGUGUUCACAGCAAUUCCUCUCACCCCCUGCUGUAAAACCCUUUGGGUCCUGUCAGCUCAGUCCCAGCUGUAGCCUUGUAAAAGGCUAAUAGCAUCUGUUUUUCUGACAAGAACUACUGAGCAUGGUGUGAAAAGGGUGGUAAGUUUAGGUCAAAUUUUAUUUCACACACAGUGAAGUAUAUUUAUUGAAAAACAUUCAAAAAACCAUUUUGUGUUUGGGGAUAUUUUGAAAUUGUAUGCGGCUAAAUUAAGAAUCCUGAACUGCUUUCUUGAACACCGGUGUCCAUGAUGACUGGUUUUAUUUCCAGUGUGGGUAGCCCUUCAUUUAGUGCAGCAUGGUUUGAGAACUUAUUUCUAAGUAGUUGUUUGGAACCCUUACUUAGAAUAGUUCUUGAGUUUGGUUUACCUGUAUGUUAAUAUGUGUGGCAAAGUCACUUAGUUGUCAUGAAAUUUUUAAAAAGUUCAUGAAAUUAUAGUGAGACAUCCUUAUAAGAAAUAUUAAAGAAGUACUUUUACUGCCCUUGGAAAAAGAUAAAAUGUUUGCUUUCCCUUUUCUUUAAGAAAUAAGUAAUUGUAUAUUUUGUUUUUAUAGAAAUAAUAAGCUUUUUCUUCAACUGUGUCCUUUUGGGGAGGAUAGGAAUUGAGCUGUUGGAGUAUUUUGUCUUAUUGUGUAUAACAGAUAAUGUCAAAAACAUUUCUGUGUAUUUCUUAUUUUUCUAUUUUCCAGAUGUCCAGUGAUAUUAUCAGUUUUAAUUAGUUUUUUAUAUGUUAUGUUUUUUGAUAUGUGCAUUUGAUUUGGAAGUAUUAUAAUCAAACAAUGUUGAUUUUUUUUUUCCUUUUUCUCAUCUUCUGAUCAGGAUUUCUGGCAGGUACCGACUCAAUAGCAUGUGCUUUAAAUUAAUUAAUGCGCCAAGAUUCAUAGCAGUGCUUCAGGGACAAAAGUUCAGUGCAUGCUCAUGUCCUUCCCAUGCUCCCUUAGAGUGAUUCAGUUCCUGUCACUUUAAAUUAACAUAUUUUAUCUUUAAUAUGACAAUUCAUCCACUACACAAGUCCUUCAGAAUAUAGUACCCAGCGUAAUUUAAAAGGAAGUGUUAAUGUUAGGUGUUAAGCAAAAGGUCGAGAAACUUUGUUUUGAUCGCUAUAUUGUAUAAAGGAUUAGUUGGGUCCUUUACAUAGCCUUAUUUGGAGUGAUGAAACGACAGUAAAUUCAUGUUAAGAAUUAGUAGAUUUAUUUUUUUGAAACUUCUUAUAUAAUAAGUACAGAGAAGCAGUUGCUUAGUUGCACUUUGCUCAGUAAAAUAGCCUUAGGGAAACAGAUGGAAUAUUUAGAAAAAUUUCAUUACUUUGUUCAUUUAAGCUAAUCAACAACUUUGACUUGGAAAAACAAGCAAACACUUGGAAAAAACCAUGAAAAGAAUAUGUAGCUGUAAGCUAACAACAGAGACUUUCAAGGAUACUCCUAAGAAAGUACUUUUGAAUUGAUCUUCAAAGGUUUAGACUCUUUAAUUGUAAUUUAUAAAUUAUUACAGUUCCUUUUCUUAAAAAAUUACUCAUUUCUGAUGGUUGGAAGUCUUAAUACAAAUGUAAAUUUCAUAGAACUAAAAAAGUCUAGUUUAAAAUAGUUAAUGAUAUAAUUAAGACCCCUUUAUUUUCAUGGUAUGUUUUUUCUGUAUUCCUUUGUUUUUAAAAUGGAAUGUAUUACUGGUAGUCCUCUUACCAACCCAAAGACCAGUCAUGCUGUUGUUGGUGUAUAGGUUCUCAUCCCAAGUAGCUUUGCCUUUAACUGCAUUCUGAAACAAGCUAAGAAAUAUUUUUAACAUUACAUCAGAAUAAUUUGUUGGUGAUGCCAUUGCCAAUGUUUCUAGUUCUAGGGAGUCUGUUUUAAAGUAGCUGUGACACAUGCAGACAGGAUGCUAAGAGUCAGUCAGAUGAGAUGGAAACACCUGUGCUUGAGAGCUUCCAGUUCUGCAGUUAUGAUAGGACAUUUUGUAGGAGGAAACUAAAGACUGUUUUCUAAAUAAUUGUGUGGUCAAAAUGCCUUCAAAUAGAUGUCCUUACCAGAGAGUUAGGAAUAGAAAAGAAAAGCAGGAAUGGCUAAGUUCUUGGAAGUUUCUGGAAUCUACAGCAUUAAGUGGUCAACAACAGGUGACAAAAUAUCAUCAGUUUAUACUUUCACUACCUAAACAUAAUACCCUUAAUUGAUCAAGGAUUCAGAAUCAAGUUUUACAGUGCUUGCUUUGGCAAUGCAUAUACUAAAAUUGCAACAAUACAGAUAAGAUUAGCAUGUCCCUGUGCAAGAAUAAAACACAAGUUUGUGAAGCAUUCCAUAUUUUUAUAUGAGCAACCCAUUCCUGCACCUAUUACAGUUAUUGGGAGCAGUUAAUAAAAAGUAAUGGAGAGCAGUAUACAGAGAUGGUUUCAUGAAAUUUUAAUGUUUGAGAUACAUUUUUUAAAAAAACUUUUUAUAUUGAAAGUAAUAAGUGUUUUCUUAGACUAGAUAGUGAGGGAAAUUGUUUAUCUGUAUUGCUGGUUUUGGUAAACUAGUGUGAAUCUUUUAAGCUUGCAGAGGUCAUGAGCAGUUCCUUUACAGCAGAGGCCUUUCUUGCUUGCUUCCUGCAGGGUUUUGUUCUUUGCAUGCUCGGGUCUUGUUGCCUGUGGGAAGGCUGGAAUAAUUUUGUUUUCCUGGUAGCAUAGACUGCUGUUCUUCAGAUGCAACUUAGUAAUAUGUUAAGUACUUACCGUAUUUCUGUGAGGAGUAUCCAUAAUGUCUCUUUCCAGUCUCUUGUGUUCUGCCAUUACUAAAGUUUGUUGAUUCAACUAAUUCGUGUGUUUGGUUACCCAAGUCAAGAAAAGAUCAGAGAAUGCAGUUACCGUGCUCUAAAGGGGAGUGUUAUUUAUUUACUCGGUUGUCCCAAAUACUCAGACACCUGUUAAGAUUUCUUUAAGUGCGUUUUAUUUUCUGUUUUGCUGUGUUUGAAUUUGGGAUCAAUCGAACACAUUUGAUUUAUCAUUGUUGAUUUGAAAACAUGAACAUGACUAAUCAUUGCAUUUCUGACACUUUCAUGUUUAGUUUUUCACUGUAAAACAAGAUUCGAAAUUCACUUUGACAUAAGGCUUUUUUCCAGACUAACUGGAGUUCCAUAAAAGCUACUCAAAACAAAUUAUUUCUCCUUCAUUCUUGUAAAACAGGUUCUCAACUUAGCUUAAACAUCUGCUGAUGGUCUUUGGUGGUAGAGAAUGGGUGAGGAUAGUUCUCAGUUUGUGUAUUUGUCUUGAACUUCCUUUGGUUUCAAAAAUUUAUGCUGGAAUAAAAAUGCUCUGCAAAUACAGAUUUAUGUGGCAUUAAUUAGAAGAGUGUAAAGAACAUUACAUUCUUGAAAUGAUACACAUUUGGAGAAUAAUUAAAAUAGGAAUUUGGAUAAGUAACGGUAUAAAAAGAAGUAUACUCAGAUCACUGGCUCAGUCUUUCCCCUUCAAGUUAAUUUAGCUGGUAUAAGGUUAGCUCCAAGUUCUUUUCCACAUUAGCUAAGUUGUGCUUCAAAAAUAUCAAGUCCUUGCAAACAUUUUCAUAAAUUGUAAACAGUAGACACAGGGUUUGCUCCUGAGCAUUUGCUACAACCCAGCAAGUAGCACUUCAUGGCGUGGGGGCUCUGAAGUCAGCCCUUGGCCUUUCCUGUCACUUAACAAUGCUGUCGCCUUGGGCUGUGUAUCUAACCUGAGUCUUUUCCAUCUGUAAAAUGCAGAUAGUAGUAUCCCUACCUGGUAGAGUAGAGAAAAGUCUAGUGUUAAUGUGCCUGGCACAGUAACUUGCAUAGGAUAUGCAAAGAAACAUUUUCAAAUUCUUGAUAUGUCUUUAAUGAUCAUUGUUGGGUACCAGGGGAUACCUAUAAAUGUUUGGUUUCAAAAUCGAUUCAAAGAUUCUUCAUUUGAAGUAUUUCCUGGGAGGUGAUAGCUACCAGAGCAGUUAAAUCAAGGGUGUGAGCAGCAACUUUUUCUGAAACAUUUUUAUGAUUAGUUUUUUUCAGUUGGGAUAUGAAAUUACUAUAUUCAGUGUGACUUAUUUUUCAAACUUUGUACUUGAGAUUGCUUUUAGCAUUAAGUGGCAGGGAAGGCUUCCAUACUCCAUGUCCUAUUGCUGAGCUCAGUACUGUUCUUUUUAACACCGAUACAGUUGAGUGGCCAGACUUCAGUAUUCAUUGCUUGGAUUUCGGUAGCAAAUGACCAAAAAUGAUAAAACAGUGAUUCUCCCACCUAGAGGUGAUUAAAGCAAGAGCAUAGUCAUAAUGUGAUAGACAAGUAGAGUUGAUAAUUUUCUCCAUCUAGAAUUUUGAUACUAUUUCGUCAGAUACUAAGGGUUAAAAGAAAAUCAUCUACUAGAGUUGUGUCAUUUCCUCAAAGUCAAUGUCAUUCCAGUAAAUUUCUUUGAAUUUUUGUGAUUGAUUUAAUCAAAUCAUCUGCCACUGUUGUUUUUUAAACAUCUUCAUUUGUGUCAUUUCCUCUAAAAUCAUUAUGAAAUAAGAAAACAUGGGCAUUCUAGGUAUUUGGAAUUACUCUCAGAGUUAAGGUGGAUAGAAUUGGGACUGAAAAGAGAAUUGCUUUCUGGCAGAGUGAAGUGGACAGUAUCUUAAGCAUUCACCUUCCACAGUUUGUUGCACAGUAACUUAUGUUUGUUUGCAAUAUUACCUUCAAAAAGCUUAGAAGAAAAUGUGAGUUGGAAGGGGAAGUCAUAAACUACUCUAAUUAGAAACAUCUCAAUUUAAUUUUUAUCUGACAUACUUCCAAAUUCUACCUUUCUACAGCUUCAGAUAUUGUGUGGGGAAGAAGAAUAACAUGUGCAUUUUAACUGUGCAACAGUCUCUGUUUGAUUGGGAGUUUUGUGAUUGUUUAAGAUUGGUAUCUUACCAAAGCUUUGGCAUCUGUCUACGCGCCAAGUACAUGACGAGAUGUGAGCAUUAAUUGCAUGGGAAAACCGCUGAAUUUUCUUUCUCUUUCUAACACUCCCUUCCUCCUUGCCCUGACCCCAACCUUGGGUGGAAAUACUAUUUGUCAUUUGGAAAUGGUAUCCCAAAGUUACAUUCUCUGGAAGAUGCAUAAUUUAUCAUUAUUUUGCUUUUGAAAUAACAACCUCAAAUAUUAUUCAAGGUAUUUAGAAAUAAAGCCUUUGGGAUGUAUUUCAGCACUACAAAGAAAUGUUAAUAUUAAAAUAAGAUUUCCACUUCUUUAAUGAUGACAUCUUAAAUAGUAAAGCUGAAUUCUUUAUCAGAUUUUAUCUAUAUCAGAGAUGUUUUCAGUUGCUGUAUGAUAUGUAGUAUGUAUUUUGCAUAGUCCAUUGAUUUCUGUUAGCUAGAAGUAUUUUAUUUUGAACUUUACAACUUGAAAAGUGGGUCUUAAUUAGAAGAAAUAAUGAUAUUAAAUUCCUAGAUAAAAUUUUUCUCCUUAGGUUUAUCUAGUUGAGUCUCACAAGGCAAAAGUGUUGGCUCUGUUUUGAUCAAUGCUGUAACUAAUUAGGAUUCACUGUUUGAGCAUACUGGGUGCCAAGAGUUGAGUUAUAAAUUGGAGAAGUCUCCCAGAGCUUCUAAUGGCAUUUGCCAUUUUAAAAGUUUACAUGAUUGGUCAGAAACCAAAGUUAGCACAAAGCUAUCUGGUAAAACACUGCUAAUUUUUGACUCAUUUUGAAGUAGAAUGAUUAAAUAGGGUAUGAUAAUAAGUUUACUUGGAAGUCUUUCUGCUUAAUCUAAAAAAUAAAAGGGUUAAUAAUAUGUUAUCAUUGAGAUUACUACCAACCCAUUAUAAGGGUAUUUAUUUGCCUUUACUUGAGGUUAGUAAUUUGAAUACCUUAGCGAUGUUAAUUCUAUAGCUAAGUUUUAAAUUUUGAUAUAAGUAAGACUACAUCAUGUAAGUGAAUAAUGAAAUGAUUUUAGAUAAACAGUUCAUUUAAGUCAAUAAGCUCAUCACUUUGAAAUAUUUUGUGUAAUUUUGUUCUCUAAAAGAGGAUAACAUUUAUCCCUGCGUUGACCAGAAAUGCUGUCCUAAUAAUGUAAUUUGCAUUCUGCUUUCACACCCUUAAUUUCAGAAAUUCAGGUGUUUGUAAUAGAGUUUGAUAUGUGACUUCUAAGCUGCACAAAACAGCAUAAUAUCCUAUAAGGUAUCUGUAGUUACAGUCUCCAAAUAGUUCUAUUUGGAUAGCUUUCAGCAUAUAUACUGAAGUACUGUUAGAGUCUUACCUCAAGAUGAAACAAGUUUUCAUAGAUCCCUUACUAAUUUUUUUAACUGAACUGAUACAUUACCUAAUCUUACAGCAUAUACUCCUAACAAGAGAAUUGAAAUGUAUUCUAUUUCUUUGACUUUAUAUAAAAAUAUUUCUUAUAAUUUAUUGUAUGAAAUAAUUAUAUAUAGUGGUUAUUAUAUUAUUUAUUAUGUUUUAUAUUUAUUUUGAAUUUACUGCUUAUAUUGAGUUAAAUAGAAAUCUCCCUUCAAUUUUCUUAGUAAAAAAAUACAUAUUGGUAUAAAUCUUAAUUAAUAACAAAAAUGUAAAUAACCACCUCUGGAGCAGUGAGAGAAAAUGAACAUUACUACCUCUGAUAAGGAAAAUUGUUUGCCUUGGAUGCCUCCUUGUAGCUCCUGAAGUGUAUGCAUCCUGUUUGCUUAGAAGAGGAAAAAAAAAGCCUUGAAACUUAAUCAGAGAUUAAAUAGAAUCCAAAAGGUUAAGUAAAGUAACAUUUUACUUGACACUAAUAUGAAUUUUAGAAUAAGAAAAAGUAAGGAAAAACCUUAUCUGUACUGUAUUUCCUUCCAUCUUGAUUUUUCAAUUUUCCCAUACAUUUGGGGGCUUUUUAUCUGAUUUUCACAGCUUCCCUCUGUGCCAUAGCUAGUUCAUUUGAGGAUAACAUGUAUGGAAGAACCAGAUUUUUUAUUUAAAAAGACACAAAUUCUAAGCUGGUUUUCAGUAACUCCCAUUUCUUCCCAAGUUUCCACGUUUAUUUGGUGCUCCUCGUAGCUUCAGGUAAAUUGAAAUACCAAAUUUGAUGAUUUUAUGAUAAUUAAUGCCUUGCAUUUUCUAAGAAUCUUUUUGGCAUUUUGGAUCCUAGGACAAAUCCACUUAAAAUUCUUAAGUUGAUAAGUAGGUGUGUAAUCCUAAAAUGAGCCAUUCUUCAACAAGUGGAUGCUUCCGGAAAUGUUCAUAGAAGUACUUACUCUCCUUUCCCCUUGCACUCUGACUCCAGGGUCAUGAAGGGACCAUGUAGACCUUUUCUAAAGACUUAGGUUAUAUUACACAGCAUAUCACAACACACAAGUCAUUUUUAAGCCCUCUUUAAAUAUAUUUCUUUUUCAUUUUUAAAGAUCUUUGGCAAAAUACACAUAUUCUCUUUUUGCUCCCUUUCUGGUCCGCGCACAUAUGCACACACACACACACACACACGUACCUUUCUCUUUCCUCGUUUUUUUCAACCCCUCUCUUGAUAUGUCUCCUUCUCUUUUUUGUUUACCUUUCAAGAGCCCUUGUCUCUUCUGUGUGUUUUCAUCCAGGUAUGUUCUUCAGCUUUUUCUUAUACAGAGCAGUUUGGCCCUCUUGAUCUUUUCUACUCCCUAUCACUACUCCCUACAGCAGAGGUCUCACCUACGGCUACGCAAACAUCUCUCCUCUAAGGAACACAGGGUCGCAAGCCGUGACCAUACCUGAUUUAUCUAUUGAAGUUUUUUAAAAAGAUGUACUUACUAAUAUGAAAGGUAGAGUUAGAGAGACAGAAACAUCUUCCAUACACUCAUUCACCCCCCAGUAACUGCAGCUUGGGCAGGGCCAGGCCAAAGCCAGGAGCUUCAUCCUAAUCUCCCACGUGAGUGGCAGGGGCCCAAGUACUUGGUCCAUCUUCCGCUGCUUUCUCAGGCUCGCUCCUUAGUAGGGAGGCAGACCGGAAGAUGAGGGGCUGGGUCUUGAACCAGUGCUCACAUGGCAUGCUGGCGUCCCAGGCCACUGCUUAACCUGCUGCACCGUGAUUCUGGCUCCCAAUUCAUUGCUGAGAAUCUCUAUGCUAUUGAAAACCCACUUACUUUAUUAUUAUCAUUAUUAUUUCUAUAGAGUUUAUAAUUCUCAUAGUGGUAACAUGGCCAGGCCUAAACCAUGACCCCACAUGCAUCAGGUACUCAGUUUCUCAAGCUGCCUUUUUAACCGUUUAAAUGAUUCCCUGUUUAUUUUCCCUUGAAAAACAGUUAUAUACUCCUUUAGGAAUUAGAAGAUCUCCAAAAUGAAAAUAGACUAAUAGCAGAAAAUACCAUAAAAGAAUAAUUUAUACCUAUAAAGUCAAGUUUUAAUAAAGUUAACAAAAUAAUUCAGUGGGAAAAGAAAGUGUUCUCAACAAUUGGUUGAGAAACAAAUGUAUAUCUGUGCUUUUUGAAAUGAACCCCUCACCCUCUACCUCACCAUACACAGAACUCUCUUGAAAUGGCUCAUAGACCUAAGUGUCAAAUCUGUAACUAUAAGACUUUUAAAAGAAAAUAUAGGAGAAUACUUUUAUGGACUGGAAAGGGAACAAAAUUUGAUGGAUAGCAUAUGAAAAUAUUAACCAUAAAAGAAAGGUUUGAGGAAGUUGAUUUCCUGAAAAUUGAAAACUUUUGAUUGUAAAAAAAAUACAAGUCACAUUCUGGCUUGUUACUUGCUAAGUAACAAAUAAAUCCAAAGCUUAGUACCUUAAAACAGUAAUAAUUAUUUUUCAUGCUGUCUGUGACUCAAGAAUUUGGGAGCAGUUUGGCUAGAUAGUUCAGAUUCAGGUGAGAACAAGCAGCGACAACCAAAAUGCUUGGGGAGGAAGAGGCUAGUCAGAAUGACACGUGGGAGAGCAGGUCCUUCAAGUACUCCGCCAGGUACUGGGACAUCCUGAGGGUCAGCGCUCAAUGAGUACUCAGAAGAAACCUCAGAUGGCUCUAAUGAGCUUUCUUGUCUGGCUCGUUUAGGCCCCAGCCAUUCUGCUAAGACCUUGAGAGUAAAUAUUAUAUCCAGGCAUUUAAGGAAAUCUCCAUUGCAAUACCAGUUGAAUCAUAGACUUGAGUUACCAUGUGUGACAAAGCACAGUCUUUACAAAAAGUAUUGGAAAUUAACUGACAAACAACUUCAACCCACAGUGAGUGCAACAACACACCUUAAAACAAGGGGGAGAAUUUCAUUUCCAUAGUUUCCACAUUAUUAUGUACAUCAUGCUGCAUUUUCAAUAAGAAAUUAUACUUGCAUUGAAAUAAUAAAACAUGGCCCACUCACAAAGAAAAAGAAAAAUCAGAAUUAUUCUGGAGAAAGCAUAGACAUUAUACUUCCUACUUAAAGACUUAAAAUCAGCCAUGGUAGUCAAAUAGUUAAAAGAAACAAGGAGAAUGAUGUAUGAAGUGGAAGAGGUUAUCACAGAGAAACAAAAUAUAGAAAGUCACCAGAUAGAAACUGUGGAACUGUAAACUAUAAUAGCUGAAGUGAAAAUUUCACUAGAGGAGUUUUCUGAGCAGAUUUAAAUAGGCAGAACAAAGAAUCAGUGAACUUGAUGUUAUCUAGCCUGAGGCAGAGAGAAAAAAGAAUGAAGAAAAGUGAGUACAGCUUAAGUAGCUUAAACUUUGAAAAGGUCACAGUGGUAAAUUUUAUAGUCUUUGCAUUAUAUAACUUUUAAAAAAUAUAUUAAUAAAGUAUGUGCUGGCAUAUGUGCAACAAUUAACUGAAAAUAAACCAGUGGCUUAAGAAUAAGAGCUAAAACUAUAGAAUUCUUAGAAAAAUACUGAUAAAUCUUUGUGAGCUUGGCUUUGCUAAUGGAGUUUAAGGUACAACAUCAAAUAUAUAAGCAAUGAAAAAAAUUUGAUAAAUUGGGUUUCACCAACAUUUAUGUAUUUUAUGAGUCACAGGACAUGACCAAAUUAAAAAACAACACUAGUUUGUGAGAAAAUAUUUGAAAGUUGUAUAUGUGAUAAGGGUCUAGUAUCCAAAAUAAAUAUGAAAUUCUCAUGAGUCAACAACAAAAUGAUGCAUAACUUAUUAAAAAAUGGGCAAAGGACUUAAAUAGACCUUUCUCUAAAGAAGAUACUGAGAUGGCCAACAAGCAUAUGAGAAGAUACUCAACAUCAUUAGGCACUAGGGAAAUAGGAAUCCAAACCACAAUAAGAAAUCAUUUUACACUCACAGAAUGGUUAAAGUGAAACAAACAAAAAGCGUUGAGGAUGUGGAGAAAUUGUAACCCUCUUACACUGCGGAUGAGAAUGCAAAUGGUGCAGCCACUGUGGAAAACAGUUUGGCCAUUCCUCAAAAACUUAAGCAGCUGCCAUGUGACCCCGCAGUCCAAAGGAGUGACAACAUCCACUUGUACAUGAAUGUGUGUAUUAGUCGUCCUAUGCAAAUAGCCAAAAGGUAGAAAUAACCCAAAUAUUAAGGCAUAGUAUAUAAACAAUGGGUAGCAUUUGGCAGUAGAAAGGAAUUAGUAUUGAUUCAUGUUGCAGCAUGGGUAAACCUAGAAAACAUGUUUAGUGAGAGAAGUCAAUUGAAAGGCCCACAUACUGUGUUAAUAAAUGGUUAACAUGGUGAAUUUUAUCACACUCAUAAAUGAGAAACCUAAAAAGGAAGAAAGAAGAACAGAGAAAUUCUGUUCUGGUUUCAUGGAGACUCAAGUCACGUAACAACUAGCUGCAGUUUGUUAUUGUGGAUUAUAGCCUAGACCAAGGGAAAUACUUAGAAAAGAAAUUAUUGACUAAAUUUGAUAAUGGGUUGAGUUAGAGAAUAGUAUGCUUAUCAAUAUUAAUAUUAAAAUUCCUGUUUUUAUUAAAUUUCUCCCAAAAUACUACAUUUUCAUUUCUAUAGCAGCCUCUGCAUGAGUUUUUAACGUAAUUAUUGUUAGUUACUCAACUUCUAUACAUGUUUGUUUCGCAGGCUAAUAAUGGUAUAUUAUUCACAUACUUCACUUUUGCAGUAUCUUAGGUAAUAUAAAAAUGUAACUGUUUCUUAUAUUUUGAGAUAUUUAAAUACUAAUUUAACUUCCUAGUGAAUAGCUUUACUGUUCUGGUUCUUAUUCAAUAGUUUUUUUAGUCUGGUAUUUAUAUUAGCUCUCUUGGUAGAAGAUCACAUAUGGUGUUAAGAUGCAGUCUUAGAGCAUAGUAGACAACAUGCUCAUUUUUGCUGUCAGCUCAAAGAAGUAAUCUCCAAAUGCUGUCAAGGGGGACCAUAUUUCCUGUCAGCCAUAAAUGAAGCCAGAGAAGCCCUUUCAUACAAGUACAAGCUGCCGUCACAACCUAGUACAGCUAUAUUGGCAUUCAGCUGUGGGUUUUUACCUGUCUGUGGUUACUAUAUUUUUAUGAAAAAGCAUAUUACUAGCAGAGGCCAUUUUGAAUGGGUUUCACAAGAUUAUGCAAACUGACUUCAUGAUGAUUCACAUGGUCCUUGUGUUUUCAAUUGGUUAACCAGUUUUCUUUCCUUUGUGAUGUAUGAUGGGAUCUCCACUAGACAGAG